AGAGUUUGAUCCUGGCUCAGGAUGAACGCUAGCUACAGGCUUAACACAUGCAAGUCGAGGGGAAACGACAUCGAAAGCUUGCUUUUGAUGGGCGUCGACCGGCGCACGGGUGAGUAACGCGUAUCCAACCUGCCCACCACUUGGGGAUAACCUUGCGAAAGUAAGACUAAUACCCAAUGACGUCUCUAGAAGACAUCUGAAAGGGAUUAAAGAUUUAUCGGUGAUGGAUGGGGAUGCGUCUGAUUAGCUUGUUGGCGGGGUAACGGCCCACCAAGGCUACGAUCAGUAGGGGUUCUGAGAGGAAGGUCCCCCANAUUGGAACUGAGACACGGUCCAAACUCCGUACGGAGGCCA
rnacentral:rRNA from 1 species